UACGAAGGGGGCUAGCGUUGUUCGGAAUUACUGGGCGUAAAGCGCACGUAGGCGGAUCAUUUAGUCAGGGGUGAAAUCCCGGGGCUCAACCCCGGAACUGCCUCUGAUACUGAUGGUCUCGAGUCCGGAAGAGGUGAGUGGAACUCCGAGUGUAGAGGUGAAAUUCGUAGAUAUUCGGAAGAACACCAGUGGCGAAGGCGGCUCACUGGUCCGGCACUGACGCUGAGGUGCGAAAGCGUGGGGAGCAAACAGG
rnacentral:misc_RNA from 1 species